AGAAACUGUUUCUUCAUGAAAUUUUAGCCCAGUCGCUGUAAGGCUUACAAAUUAGACAUGUGGAACGUGAGGAAACCGGAAGCUCGUGAGAAGCAGUGAGAGGCGUGUUCUUUGUGCAAAUGCUUCCUCCCUUGAUACACACUUGUGUUGGGGGCACAGGAUGAAUGAGAUACAGCCCCUCAAGGGACCCACCAUCUCAACGUGACUUGUGAGGGCAGAGAUAAAGAAGGUGCAAAGGAAGAGGGCCAUUUGUUGGAAACUUCCCAGGCUUCCAUCCCAGCAGUUCCUGAAGCAUAUGUAGGAUUUUGGGGGAACAGUAGGACAUGGGGAGAGAACUUUGCAGACGUGGGAUGAAGAAAGCGAAAAGUCUUCCUGAACCUUGAGCAACCUAGACGUGUCAGGUGCUAGGAUUACAAGUGUAAACCAUUCUGCCGGACAUUUGAUGAACAUUUUGAAAAGCAGUUGCAAACCUCAUGAAAUCUACCCCUAACUUCUUCAGCAAGUAUCUCCUAGGAACUAGGACAUUGUCUUACCUGUUCCCAUCCAUCCUUAAAAGAAUGCUUGCAUCUCUCAGCUUGCAGGGUGCGUUGUAGGAGGCCUGCUGUCUGUAAGGAAAAUGGUUCUGUCCUCAGGAAGCUUAUAGUCCUGUGGAAAAUGCUGGCGAG